GUUUGUGAGUGCUUGAAUUUUUCAAAACUUGUGUUGGAUGGAACUUGUUAGGAUGGUGAAGUGGGAAAGUUAGAUGCUUUCGAUAAUUUUAGGGCCAGAUUUUGGUUGCUAAGCGGUUUUCGUUUAUGAAACAUGUUUGGAUUAUCUGAGGUAUGCUACUUCAUUCCUAGGUGAUCAGGACGAAGAAAUUGCUGAUUCAAUGCAUUUAUAUUUAUUCCUCAAAUGCUAUGGAUUUUUCUUAUGUUCCACAAUUCCACCAACUUGAUAUGCAUAAAUUAUUAAAAGUUUAAUAGGUGACCUUUUUGAGCUUCAGGUUCUGAAUUUGGUAUAUUUUUGAAGGUUUAACUUUUGACUAGUAUAAGUUUAUUUAGAAAUUCCCAUUCAUUUAAUACGAUGAAUCAUGAAUAUUUAAAUAGCACAGUUGUUCUUUUUAUUGCUUCUCAAUCUUGCAUGAAUAAUAUGUUUUUUGAUUUUCUUUUUUCUUCUCCCACCCUCCUCCCCUAUUCCUGGUAACUUUAUUUAGCAUUCUUUUUCCUGGAU
rnacentral:misc_RNA from 1 species